GGAAUCUUCCACAAUGGACGCAAGUCUGAUGGAGCAACGCCGCGUGAGUGAAGAAGGUCUUCGGAUCGUAAACUCUGUUGUUAGAGAAGAACACGAGUGAGAGUAACUGUUCAUUCGAUGACGGUAUCUAACCAGCAAGUCACGGCUAACUACGUGCCAG
rnacentral:rRNA from 1 species